GGAAUUUAGCUCAGUGGUAGAGCGUUUGCCUAGCAAGCGCAAGGCCCUGGGUUCGGUCCCCAGCUCCG
rnacentral:tRNA from 1 species